UACGUAGGGUGCAAGCGUUAAUCGGAAUUACUGGGCGUAAAGCGUGCGCAGGCGGUGAUGUAAGACAGGUGUGAAAUCCCCGGGCUUAACCUGGGAACUGCAUUUGUGACUGCAUUGCUGGAGUGCGGCAGAGGGGGAUGGAAUUCCGCGUGUAGCAGUGAAAUGCGUAGAUAUGCGGAGGAACACCGAUGGCGAAGGCAAUCCCCUGGGCCUGCACUGACGCUCAUGCACGAAAGCGUGGGGAGCAACAGG
rnacentral:rRNA from 1 species